rnacentral:rRNA from 1 species
AACGAACGCUGGCGGCGUGCUUAACACAUGCAAGUCGAACGCGAAAGGGACUUCGGUCCUGAGUAAAGUGGCGCACGGGUGAGUAACGCGUAGAUAACCUGUCUUCGAGUCUGGAAUAAUACACCGAAAGGGGUACUAAUACCGGAUAUUCUUGCGUUUCAUAAGUGACGUAAGCAAAGGUGGCCUCUGCAUAUGCUACUGCUUGAAGAGGGGUCUGCGUACCAUUAGCUAGUAGGUAGGGUAAUGGCCUACCUAGGCUACGAUGGUUAGCGGGUCUGAGAGGAUGAUCCGCCACACUGGCACUGGAACACGGGCCAGACUCCUACGGGAGGCAGCAGUGAGGAAUAUUGCGCAAUGGGGGCAACCCUGACGCAGCGACGCCGCGUGAGUGAGGAAGGCCUUCGGGUCGUAAAGCUCUGUCAAAGGGAAAGAAGUGCAUGGUGGCUAAUACCUGCCAUGUUUGACGGUACCCUUAAAGGAAGCACCGGCUAACUCCGUGCCAGCCGCCGCAGUAAGAC